rfam:Clostridium sp. JC272 Contig3, whole genome shotgun sequence.
GAAAUCCUGGGGCAUGCGACAGUGCCUAUUUAAAUUCAACCGACAAAGUUUGAACGGGAGUAUGAGUUUAGCGGUGGAUAAAAUGCCCCUUCAUAAUUAUGGGGGACUUUAAAAACUGCUAGUAGUACACCCACCUGGGAGAUUCUCGGGUAUGAAUUUAAAGGGCCAUCGGUGUUUCGGGGUAAAA